AGUCUCCUUUUCAUGAUUCCCUCUUAAACUCUGGGAUCCUUCAGGACAGCUGUAGCAUUGUCUAUAUAUUCACAGAAUAUUUAAGCCUGCCUUUUACACAGAGUUUACUAGAAUAUGAAAAAAAAAAUUAUCUAUUUUCUUUUUCCACUGGAGUUACAAAGUCCUCUGGAAAAUUAAGGACUUGGCCCCUGAGGUACAAUAGUCUUGGAUUGAUUUCUAUUAAGACUAAUAAUCAGUUCUGGAUAAAAUCAGUGUCUGUAGCACAAGACUAAAGAGAUUGUAUUUCAUUUGAGAAAGUUGGUAAAAAAGGAUCUUUGCCUUUGAUAGGAGAAUGCAUAUUCAGGUAUUGAUGCAGAUGUCACCUUUGGCAUAUGCUUUGCCAUGGAUAGUAAUCUUUCCCUCACUGAUUUUUCAGUCUUUCAGUGAUUGUGACUCCCAUUGCAAAACUGUAAGGGAUGUUUUGCUGUUAAGUGGAUCUUAACUACAGAUUCAGUCUGACAUUAUUACCCAGAAAUUCUUUGUCUGAAUUUCUCAGCUAAACUAGACUUGACAAGUUAUCCAUAGCUUGUUACAAGUAUUCAGUCUUUUUUAUUUGUAAUAUUUGUUUGUCUUGCAGAGAUGAACAGAAGAGGCAGCUGUUGAAGGUAUCUCUGGCAAAAUAUGGAAUGUCGUAGUCAAUAUUUUGGGCCUUGUGCAAGAGACAUCAAGAAGAGGUGGUAAACUCUUUAUCUCAUGGAGCCACAUUGCCCUGAAGUUGAGUUACAGAGGAUCAGAUGGAGGAAAAGGUGGAAAGGCUCAUUAUUGCAACUCCAGCAGGCUCCUGAGAUCCAGGGAAGAAUUAAGCCCCAAAAUAUGCUUUACACCAGUCCCAGCUUCAUGUUUCAGCAUGUGCCUUGUCACAGCAGCACUCAGCAGCACCACAGCUCCUCCUCACCUGCCUCUACCAGAUCUUCUCCCACACACCAGCUGUGUUGUGUGCUUGCAGAAGUCAACAAGAUGAGCUUAAGCCUUGCAAAGCAAGAAGUGAGAUGAAAAAGUGCUGAAAGCGUUCCUAAACCUUCCUUCUACUAGCUCCUGUAUGGAGGAAAUGUGUCUGAUUCAGCUUCAGCUACACUUUAAAUAACCUGCAGUGGCUGUUGAUCCACACCCAGCAU